UACAGAGGUCUCAAGCGUUGUUCGGAUUCAUUGGGCGUAAAGGGUGUGUAGGUGGCGCCGUAAGUCGGGUGUGAAAUCUCGGGCUUAACUCCGAAACUGCAUUCGAUACUGCGGUGCUUGAGGACUGGAGAGGAGACUGGAAUUCAUGGUGUAGCAGUGAAAUGCGUAGAUAUCGAGAGGAACACCAGUGGCGAAGGCGAGUCCCUGGACAACUCCUGACACUGAGGCACGAAAGCUAGGGGAGCAAACAGG
rnacentral:rRNA from 1 species